ACUCCCUCCUCUCUACAUUUUCUUCCUCUGUUUCUGCUGCAACUCACUCAUCUGUGGUAACAACUCACUCAUCUGUGGGGACAAUUCAGCUUGUUUCAAUACUGUUGGUAGCUACUACUGUGAGUGUCUUACUGGGUUUAUGGACGUCGCUGGUGCCACUCGACAAUGCUUGGACAUAGAAGAGUGUGUUGAGUACCAACAUAUUUGUGGGGAAUGGGGAACCUGUCUUAAUCAGGUGGGUAGCUACCUGUGCCAGUGUCCCAAUGGAUUUAGAAACGCUGGCGACGGACAAACUCAGUGUGUAGACAUUAAAGAGUGUAAGAUAGACAGAGUAUGUGGAAAGAGGGGGAUCUGCCAAAACCUGAAUGGCAGCUACUGGUGCCAGUGUUUUGCUGGAUUUACUAACUUCGGCAACAACCAAACUAAGUGUGUAGAGCUAAAUUGUGACCAGGAUGAAACACAGGGUACGCCUGGACAGUUAAGUUCUUCAUGUUAAAUAAUGAGUAAGCUU